rnacentral:rRNA from 1 species
GAAAGAGCAAAGAAGGAAUAGAACAACUUU